CAGCAGUGCAGAACUCGUCUCCAAGGUCAGAUGUGCUCAUUAACCUGUUCUCGGAUCCUCCAGAUAAAAACUUAUCUGUCACCCAGCCUUUGUCCAAUGCACCAUCUCUCCGUCCUCACCUAAUGCUCCCAUCUUUCUGAUCCAUGACACAUUCUAAGAAACCAGGUGCAUCCUGGGGAAAGGAGUGAUUAAAUCAUUAAUUAAUUAUUUGCAAAUAUCUAGAAGCCAGAGGAGAGGGAAGAGGUUACCUCCACAUCUCUCAAGGCUGGAAAUUCCAGAAAGGUGUCUCAGGAAUGGCAGCCACAGGACUCAGACCCCAGAAGUGCCUCGAACCCCCCAGCACCAAGAGAGUGUGUGAACCAGUGGCCCCGCUCUGUCCACACUUGGAAUGUCUGCUUAAGGAAAGAUGUUUCUGGCUUCCAGUCUUCCACAUCCUGCAGGUCAAAACAGCUUCCAUGGGGAAGACAUGGCCUGGGACGGUGCCAAUGGAGAUGUAUUUCUUGGACUUGCUGAGAAAGGCUCCAUCCCACUGAUGGAUGUUGGCUGUGCUGGCAGCUCCGCAUAAUGGAACACUUCGCUUGAUUUAUAAAGGACCCAACUUGUCAUUUCUAUGUCCUCACCAUUGUCUUUAUUGUCCUUGCCUGUUUUUACCCGCUGUUCAAGGCCUUCUUUGAUUGGCUUCUCUCCUUGUUCUCUGACUGCCUAACUCAGGUGACUUUCAGUCCAGCUGGUAAAAAGGGACAACUGCCCUGUCCCCCACCAUACCCACAGCCUGGGAUUUGUGCCUCUGCUCCUCCGUGAGCCUCUUUAGCUUAGGAGGAAUCCUGUCUGCCGUGAGAUAGAUAGCUGGUCUGCUCAUUCCUCUGAAAUGCACCUUUUGCCAAAAAAAACACAUCUUAAAAAUUUUAAACCAGCCCUUACUUGAAAAGAAGGUUGGUUUAGCAGCCACUCCGGUGCCUUCGCCGUCUGCCACUUCCUGGAAAUGUUUGUAUAGUCUCCUGCCUUCUCCUGAGUCACCUUUCCAAAAUUCAAAAUUCUCAAGUUUUAUCACCUAAGGAACAAGUGUGCUGCUGCCUGAGACCCUUUAUCUUAUUUCUGUAGAGAAUGUAGACUGAAGUUGUUUGCACCGUGGGACAACUGUGGGGUUGGACGGGCCCAUUUUUAAUCUAUUCGGUACAGGCAAGACUCCUCUGAAAGGAUGAUGUGUU
rnacentral:lncRNA from 1 species